rnacentral:rRNA from 1 species
GAUGAACGCUGGCGGCGUGCCUAAUACAUGCAAGUAGAACGCUGAAGGAGGAGCUUGCUCUUCUGGAUGAGUUGCGAACGGGUGAGUAACGCGUAGGUAACCUGCCUGGUAGCGGGGGAUAACUAUUGGAAACGAUAGCUAAUACCGCAUGACAACAGUUAUUGCAUGAUAACUGUUUAAAAGGGGCAACUGCUCCACUACCAGAUGGACCUGCGUUGUAUUAGCUAGUUGGUGAGGUAACGGCUCACCAAGGCGACGAUACAUAGCCGACAUGAGAGGGUGAUCGGCCACACUGGGACUGAGACACGGCCCAGACUCCUACGGGAGGCAGCAGUAGGGAAUCUUCGGCAAUGGACGGAAGUCUGACCGAGCAACGCCGCGUGAGUGAAGAAGGUUUUCGGAUCGUAAAGCUCUGUUGUAAGAGAAGAACGAGUGUGAGAGUGGAAAGUUCACACUGUGACGGUAUCUUACCAGAAAGGGACGGCUAACUACGUG